CAACCCGGAUUGCACUGAUACCGACCAGCUAGCCCCCCCCCAAAAAUUAACCCACCACAAGUAUGACCCCUAAU
rnacentral:tRNA from 1 species